UGAAACAGCCGUUCACUGAAGCGACUGAAGCUGCGUAAUGCAGCAUGAGCAUAUGCAGCAUAAUGUCAAUUUCGGAAAAUGCGUGAGCAUGCACGCAUAUUGAUUACAGCACUGCAUGGUUUGAAAAAAGGCGAUCACAGGGCACUGAAGAUUGACUAUUUGUGCAAAAUUUAACAAGAAUCAAGUUCUAAGGCAAGACUUACAGAUAUUCUUGGAUAUUCUGAGGAACCUGUCAAGAAAAACCUUCAGGCACCUAAAAUAUGGAAGCAUCAUUCUGCGCCAUCAAUGGAGUGUGUGAUACGUACGAGAACUUUGUUUUCGGCGCUCCACUCGCUGCUCCUGCUCUCCCAGCAAACGCAAGAAUGAUAAAUUAACAUUUUUUUAUUUUUAAGUUUAACCCACUUGUACUGUGAACGGGGCAAGUUUUGGAUUCAGAUCACCAAUCAGAAAUUGCAAUAAAGAGUUGGCAAUGACAUCUGGCUUCUACAGUUAUGCCAAGCUGGCAAAAAAUGCCACUGAAUAUGCUCGAAGGAUGAAUCGACUGAGCAGCCGCAUCUUUGGUGAGAUGGUGCCUACAGCUAACUCCCAAAGGUCAAUCAAAGUUAUGCAGCUGCUAUCUGAACAGCCACGGUACAAAGAUCCUCAACUUGUGGACUAUUAUCCUCGCUUUCGCGAGACCUACUAUCUAAUGCUCCAUCUGCGAGAACUGGGCCUGUACCGUGACGAACAUUGGGACUUCAGUGACGAGAUGAAGCGACUGCGUCGGUUGCGUGGCAAGGGACCACCGCCCAAGGGACAAGGAAAGCGGGCUUCCAGGUAGCGGCGAUACGCUUGAGGUUAACUUUUGCAUCUCAGAUGCGAAUGCUUUUGUUUGUAACAUCAAUGUCUUGUGCGUAUGGAUGCUCGGUAAAUGUAUGCAAGCUUUGGUUGUCUUAAAUACAAGGAUUUUUUUUUGUCCAAGAAGCGGGAACAUUUGCAUCAGUUGUUUGGUGCCAGCGGGACUUGAUUGGGAUGGGUCGGGAGCGGGACUCGGACUGGCAGCUGGAGUCCAGCGCUAAGCGAGCCGCGGGGUCGAUAUGAGUGCAAUGUUGGAAUUUUAGGGCCUUGGUUGGAAUAGUCGUUUUCGGUCCUGGUCCCGGAGAAUAAAAUCUGCCCGGAGAACCAGUCAGUUUUUAGAGCAACCAACAGGAAAAUCAUAUUUUUGGCCUACUAACCGUGAUAGCUGAUAAAAUGUGUUACUCUCAAUGCUAUUGCUAUAUAUUUUAGGUGUAAUAAUGUCAGUUUUUUCAUCACACAUGCUGGAAAAUUUGGAAGAUAUUAAGUGCCAGAGUACCUAUACAUUUGUAAAGGAGAACACAAUCUUUGGGACCCGACUGGGACCAGCGAAGGGUCUUAUUUCCAACAUUGUAUGAGUGCGUCCUCAAGGACUUCUACCUACCGCUGGGCGACGGACGCAUACUCGUGCUGGAUAAAUGCGUCAAAACAAGGGCAGCGAAGCGAAGUGGCGUUUGAAUAGACGUGGCAGUGAACUCACUCAUGACCGCGUCUCAUUACAGUGUGCGCGCAACAGUAUGCAAUAAAGUCUCAACAACAGAGUCGGGCUGCUCUCUGACUA